rnacentral:lncRNA from 1 species
CCAAAGUGUCCCCAAAGUGUCCCCAGGUGUCCCCAGGGUGUCCCCAAAGUGUCCCCAAAGUGUCCCCAGGGUGCCCCGGUGUCGCCAAACUCCCAAAAAUGCCCCAAAACUGCCUCAAAAGGCUCCAAAAUAUCCCCAAAUCCCCCAAAAACUGGGCCCAAAGUGUCCCCAAGUGUCUCCAAAGUGUCCCCAAAUGUCUCCAGGGUGUCCCCAAAGUGUCCCCAAAGUGUCCCCAGGGUGCCCCGGUGUCGCCAAACACCCAAAAAUGCCCCAAAACUGCCUCAAAAUGCCCCAAAACACCCCCAAAUCCCACCAAAAACUGGGCCCAAAGUGUCCCCAAGUGUCCCCAAAGUGUCCCCAAAGUGUCCCCAAAGUGUCCCCAGGGUGUCUCAGUGUCACCAAACACCCAAAAAUGCCCCAAAACCGCCUCAAAAUGCCCCAAAAUACGCCCAAAUCCCCCCAAAAACUGGGCCCAAAGUGUCCCCAGGUGUCCCCAAAGUGUCCCCAAAGUGUCCCCAAAGUGUCCCCAAAGUGUCCCCAGGGUGUCCCCAGGGUCCCCAAAGUGUCACCAGACACCCCAAAAAUGGCCCAAAACAGCCACAAAAUGCCCCAAAAGUGCCUCAAAAUGCCCCAAAACACCCCCAAGUCCCCAAAAAUUUGUCCCCAAAUUGUCCCCAAAUUGUCCCCAAGUGUCCCCAGGGUGUCUCCAAGAGUCCCCAGGGGGGCAGUCCCCAAAAAUCCCCAAAUUUGGCCCCAAAUUCCCUCAGGUUGGUCCCAAAUUCUCUACAGGGGACCCCGAAAUGUCCCCAAAUCCCCAAAAAUGCCCCCAGAAACCCCAAAAGUGACCUCAAGGUGUCCCCAAGGUGUCCCCAAGCUGUCCCAAUGUCCCCAAAGUGCCACCAAACACUCCAAAAAUGGCCCAAAAUGGCCUCAAAAUGCCCCAAAUUGUCCCCAAAUGCCCAAAAAUUGUCCCCAAAAAUUGUCCCUCAAGUGUCCCCAAGGUGUCCCCAGGGUGUCCCCAGGUGCCCCCAGCUGUCCCCAAAGUGUCCCCAAGGUGUCCCCAGCUGUCCCCAGCUGUCCCCAAGGUGUCCCCAGCUGUCCCCAGGUGUCCCCAAGGUGUCCC